CGCUGUUCACCCAGCUGGCGUCCGUCCCAAAUAUUUUUCAUUUUCAAAACGAGCCCUAAAAUAAUUUCCCCUCCCUCUUCUUCUCGGCCGAUCGAGUAGCCUCCGCCUCUUCCCCUCCGAUCGAGUAGCCUCCGCCUCUUCCCCUCCCCAACGCACGCCACGGCCGGCCCUCUCCUCCGACAAGCACCUUCCUCCCUCCUCUUCCCCUCCCCGAACAAUCUCUGCACGCCGUUCCCCUGUUCGUCGUCCUCUCUGCACCGUCUCCUCCGACGAGCACCUCCCUUCCUCCUCUUCCCCUCCCCGAGCAAUCUCUGCACGCCGUUCCCCUGUUCGUUGUCCUCUCUGCACCCUCUCCUCCGAUGAGCGCGGUUCCCCUCCCAGACGACCUCUCUGUCGGUCGGCCGCACGCUCUCCUUGCUGCACGUCGUUCGCCUCCUCUCUGCACAGACCGUCGAAGAGUCCCACCGUCGAUCGCCGCCUCUCCGUUCGUCAUCGGGUCCUGUCCAUCCGCCGUCUUCCUAUUUCCAUCCGCCUCUCCGAUUUUCCAUCCGCCAUGAAAGGUAUUCUUAUGGCACCAGGAUUAUCUAACAAAAAAAAAAGUACCAACAGCCAUCGAUCCAGAUCCACGGCAUUCCACUCAGCAGCCAACGAUCUAGGGAAUGGCCCUGUCGUUACAGUUAUGGUCAAGGUAUCAGCAGCUUCUUCAGAGCUGUGACACCAUGAUUACACCACCUUCCUCUCAGUCACCACCAACUCAUAUUCUACCAACUUCUCUAGAUUUGGCACCAUCAGAAAUCACACCUUCAGCUCCAUCUCUGGCUGAUGCUGCACCCCCUCUAUCUAAGUACUAGCAGGUUCUUUAGAGUCAUGGUAUCGUGGGUCCACCACCUUUCUCUCAAUUACCAUCAGUCCAUGUUCUAUCAGCUUCUCUAGAUCCAACACCAUCAGAAAUCGCACCUCCUGCUCCACUACCUUCCUCUCAAUCGCCACGAGUCCAUACACCACAUACCGAGCUAGAGCCUAUUGACCACACACAUCCUACCAUGGAUGUGACUCUUGAUAUUAGCUCUAUAGGGUCCACGAGCAUGGAUGGACGCAAGAAAAGAGGUUGUAUUAGAGAGGUUGGGUUAAGUAAGAUAAACAAGGUCUUUGGUAAGAAAAUGAAGAUUAAUAUCUCAACAAAAGAAGGGGACCUAUUAAUGCUGUUCAAUCUGCGAAGCUAUCAAAUAAGCUUGAUAUGAUAGCUCGAAAUAUCUUACCUGUUAAGCCUAGAUGGAUCAAAUUGACAGAGGUGGAGAUGCAGAUUGCAUUUGACAAACUAGAGCAAAAACUAGAUGUCAAGGGUUUUAAGGACGGAUGAGGAAGUUUGUGCUAGCGUCAAGAAGCUUCUUUCAUUGAAGUCAAAGGAUCAAAGAUAUCGGCUUCAUAUGCAUUACCUUAACCAUGGAAAGGACUCAAAGCCAAGUACAGUGAGCACAGCAGAGUGGAUGGAUCUUUGUACUUACUGGAGCAAGGAAAAGACACAACUAACAUGUGAGCAUAACAAAAAAUCUAGAAGUUUUAUCAAGUGCCAAGCAAACACUGGGUCUAAAGCUUUGGUACUUAUACGGCAUGAGAUUUGAGAAUGAAUUGAAUGGAGAAGAGUGCAAUCAAAUUAUGUUGUGGUAUCGUACUUAUUACACCUCAGGUCAUGGUGAUACUCCAGCUAGAUGGACAACUCCCAAGUGUGAGGCAAAAUGGAUGAGGACAAAAAUAAAAUUAUGAUUACUAGUUUAAGUGAGCUUAGUUUUUAUUUUAUAAUUAAUCCUCUUCGAAUUUUGUUAGAAUGAAAUGAUGCAGGUGCUAGAGCAGUCCAUAUCCGAAUGACAUCCUAUGACAUCAGACCAGAUAUGCGAUAAAGUUUUGGGGACUAGAUCAGAUUAUGUCUAUGGUUUGGGAGUUGGAUCUCGUCCAGAAGGACAGAGUUCUUCUUUUACAUCUAAGAAGAGACUUCAAAAGGAGUUGGAGCAGUUACAAAAGCAUAAUGAAGAGAUGAAGAAUGAGAUUGUAGACAUUAAAGCACGGAUGGAGCGUCAACAAAAAAUUUUGGAAGCUUUAUGCGCAUCACAGAAUAUCUCUUUAUCAGAUUUAUGAUGGAUCUCAUGAUUCAAGAAUUUGUGAAGGUGUGGUUUUGAGGACAUGCAUGGCAGAGAGGUCUUUUAUGCUUUGGAUUAUCGACUUAUGAACUAUUUGUUUUGUUAUAGACAGUUGGAUAAUGAGUUUGUUUGCUUUUAGUUAGAGGUGAAUUAUUUAUUUUUGUUAGACACAUGGUCUCUUGGUGCUUUUAGUUGGAAAUACCAUCUCUUUAGAUGUCUGGAUAAUUUACUUUUUGGAUUAUAAACUUUGUGUAUGGAU